GACGAACGCUGGCGGCGUGCUUAACACAUGCAAGUCGAACGGUGAAGCUCCAGCUUGCUGGAGUGGAUCAGUGGCGAACGGGUGAGUAACACGUGAGCAACCUGCCCCUGACUCUGGAAUAAGCGCUGGAAACGGCGUCUAAUACUGGAUACGAGAAGGGUCCGCAUGGGCACUUUCUGGAAAGUUUUUCGGUUGGGGAUGGGCUCGCGGCCUAUCAGCUUGUUGGUGAGGUAAUGGCUCACCAAGGCGACGACGGGUAGCCGGCCUGAGAGGGCGACCGGCCACACUGGGACUGAGACACGGCCCAGACUCCUACGGGAGGCAGCAGUGGGGAAUAUUGCACAAUGGGCGAAAGCCUGAUGCAGCGACGCCGCGUGAGGGAUGACGGCCUUCGGGUUGUAAACCUCUUUCAGCAGGGAAGAAGCGAAAGUGACGGUACCAGCAGAAGAAGCACCGGCUAACUACGU
rnacentral:rRNA from 1 species